rnacentral:pre_miRNA from 1 species
AGUGCAAUUGCUGGGUCGUAUGGUGGCUGCAUGCUUAGCUUUAUGAGAAACUGCCAAACUGCUUUCCAGAGCAGCUGUGCCAUUCUGCAUUCCCACCUGCAAU